rnacentral:rRNA from 1 species
GUAAAAUCUGUGGAAACGCAGUGUGCCUUCGGGCGUACUGAGACAGGUGGUGCAUGGUUGUCGUCAGCUCGUGUCGUGAGAUGUUGGGUUAAGUCCCGCAACGAGCGCAACCCUUGUUGAUAGUUACUAACGCGUAGAGGCGAGGACUCUAUCAAGACUGCCGGGGACAACUCGGAGGAAGUGGGGAUGACGUCAAAUCAUCAUGCCCCUUAUGACCUGGGCUACACACGUGCUACAAUGGCCGAUACAGAGAGGAGCAAACCCGCAAGGGGGAGCGGAUCUCAAAAAAGCGGUCACAGUUCGGAUUGUGGGCUGCAACCCGCCCACAUGAAGUAGGAGUUGCUAGUAAUCGCGGAUCAGCAUGCCGCGGUGAAUACGUUCCCGGGCCUU